rnacentral:misc_RNA from 1 species
UCACCAUACACAAUUCCCGCCAUUGCACCACGUCCGCUGCUAAUUCUCAACGGUGCAGAUGAUCCCCGUUGCCCACUUGAAGGUUUACAAAUUCCCAAAUCGAGAGCAACCAAGGCUUAUGGAGAAGCCCAUUGUCUGGAUAAAUUUAAGCUAAUUGCGCAACCUGGAAUUGGGCAUCAAAUGACACCAUUAAUGGUGAAAGAAGCAAGUGAUUGGUUCGACAAGUUCCUCAAGAAAUAAUGCUGUUCAGUUAAAUGGUCUGUUUUAUGUUAUUUUCUUGUGCAAUAUCUUAUAAUAAAAC